UCCUCCUACAAAGGUGUGUCUGUGGUUCCCUGUCUUUGAACAUGUAAGAAUUGGAGGCAAAGUAAUAUGGACUUGGGGAAAUUCUGGGACCAUCUUGCUACCCCGCAGGCUUGAGACCAGCCAUCCCACAUUG
ensembl:snoRNA